ACAUCCUUAUCCUUCUCAUGUUCCUCCUCCACCCCACCAGUUCCCUCCUCCUCCUCCUCACUUGCUUGCUCCUCCUUCCCAUUCUCAGAUUCCCCAAUCUUACGCUCAGGUUAAUCAGGAAUGGCGAAAUUCGAACUGGGGAAGCACCAAAGCUGGGACUACCAAGCUCACAACAAUGCGGAGGAAUGGGCUGCUAGAGCCAGAGCAUGGGCAGCACAAAAAGCUGCAAUGGAGGAUCACCA
rnacentral:misc_RNA from 1 species